rnacentral:rRNA from 1 species
GAUGAACGCUAGCUACAGGCUUAACACAUGCAAGUCGAGGGGCAGCAUGGUCUUAGCUUGCUAAGGCCGAUGGCGACCGGCGCACGGGUGAGUAACACGUAUCCAACCUGCCGUCUACUCUUGGACAGCCUUCUGAAAGGAAGAUUAAUACAAGAUGGCAUCAUGAGUCCGCAUGUUCACAUGAUUAAAGGUAUUCCGGUAGACGAUGGGGAUGCGUUCCAUUAGAUAGUAGGCGGGUAACGGCCCACCUAGUCUUCGAUGGAUAGGGGUUCUGAGAGGAAGGUCCCCCACAUUGGAACUGAGACACGGUCCAAACUCCUACGGGGAGGCAGCAGUGAGGAAUAUUGGUCAAUGGGCGAGAGCCUGAACCAGCCAAGUAGCGUGAAGGAUAGACUGCCCUAUGGGUUGUAAACUUCUUUUAUAAAGGAAUAAAGUCGGGUAUGGAUACCCGUUUGCAUGUACUUUAUGAAUAAGGAUCGGCUAACUCCGUGCCAG